UACGGAGGGUGCGAGCGUUGUCCGGAAUUAUUGGGCGUAAAGGGUGCGUAGGCGGUUUGGUAAGUCUUAUGUGAAAUCUACAGGCUCAACUUGUAGUCUGCAUGAGAAACUGCCGGGCUUGAGUAUGGGAGAGGUGAGUGGAAUUCCUGGUGUAGCGGUGAAAUGCGUAGAUAUCAGGAAGAACACCAACGGCGAAGGCAGCUCGCUGGGACGGAACUGACGCUAAGGCGCGAAAGCGUGGGGAGCGAACAGG
rnacentral:rRNA from 1 species